UACGUAGGCAGCAAGCGUUGUUCGGAGUUACUGGGCGUAAAGGGUGUGUAGGCGGUUCUUUAAGUUUGGUGUGAAGUCUCCCGGCUCAACUGGGAGGGUGCGCCGAAUACUGAGGGACUAGAGUACGGGAGAGGAAAGUGGAAUUCCUGGUGUAGCGGUGAAAUGCGUAGAUAUCAGGAGGAACACCGGUGGUGUAGACGGCUUUCUGGACCGACACUGACGCUGAAACACGAAAGCGUGGGUAGCAAACAGG
rnacentral:rRNA from 1 species